AUUUAGCUGAUCUAAACAUAGUUUGUUUUCGAUCAUUUUAAGAAAGUUCGUCCCUGGAGUCUCACAGCCUGGCAAGUCUAUGUGAAGACAGCAGCAUGAUGGUUAAAUCAUGUGGGUGUGAGAGUCGUGGGACAUUCUGCACAGGCCAGCCAGCUACAAUAUUGCGACAGUGAUGCCCUUACCCUGGUUUUUCACCAUCACCCCAAGGUCCCCAUCAACUCCAGUGAUCUAAUCACAGGUGUGUGUGUGUAGCAGCUAAUACGCAUGCGGGGACUGUGAGGCAGGCCCCGUCCUGAGUCUGUACAAUGAAGAGCCCGGUGCACAGGUGUAGGGACGUGGAGAGGCAGGCUGCCUGCCUGCAGACUGAGCAGCCGUGCCGUCCCCGUCUCCAGACAUCCCAGCAGCAUGUGUUU